rnacentral:ncRNA from 1 species
GCGUGAAAAAGCCAAACUCGUCGUGAGGCGGGGACGGAAAGUCUCGGGUCUUGAAUCAGUCGUUAUGCUCAGUUGUGAGUAGCCUGGAAUCGGGCUUGCCGCCUAAGGGCGGCAAUGACAAGGAUUGCGGUUUCAAGAUGGCUGGGCCAUCACC